GCAGGGGGGCCCUGAGGACUGGAAUUGAGAACCACUGAACUAGCUGCACAGAGGAAACACCUGAUUGACAACACUGUAUAACCUGACAUCCUUUCAAAGCUGCUGCUCUGGCCUCAGGUUCCACUCCAACCACACCGGAGAGCGAACAGGCCUCAGCUGACUGCGAGGUUGUGCAAAGAUAACGCUUGCCACAACCAGGGGACACAUAAAACUGACAGAGGAGUAGCUGAGAUAAUAUAUCCAUCUCCCCCUGACACACGUGGCCACACGUGCUGCUCACCUCCUCAUGAUAUAGAGCUAUAAUUGUAGACAUUUUGCUGCACCACAGAGCUUUUGUCUGCAAGCCCGCUAGCUGCAGCUCCUCCUCAGCUGAAACAAUAAUGGGAUCAAGCCUUUCCUUUUCUUUCCUCUCCAUGCUGGUUUAUUAUACUAUUCUCUUUUAUUCUGGCCUUCUCCAAAUCCGUCUUCUUUUUAUAACUCGCUUGUGUGCCAGACUUGCAGAAAUUGAAUUCUGCUUCUUAUUAGGCUAAACCACAAUAACCCUGAACUGUGAAUGAUCCAGCACAUCCCUUCCUACAACAGGAAACACCAUCCGCCACUAUUGUGCCAACCAACACAGAGACUUUGGCCCUGACGAUUAAAAGCCGUCCACGCCGAUCAAGUUCAGCGGAACAUGGCAGCCGCUUCGACUCUCGACCCGGAGAGGCGGAACGCGGCAGGAGUCGACGAACGCAGUGGAAAAUGUAACAUCUCGAUUGACGUGCGAGUCGAACAGCAUCUGAAAAGUGGAAGCAGGACACGAAAAAUUAAGAAAGCAGUAAAAAACAAAAAAAAGCGUAGGAAAAUUGGAACAAUUGAGAUUUCACUGUAGGUUCAUUGUCGGCAGUGUUUCGUCCUGGUUCACUCAACUGUUAUACGGUUUCGCCAGAACUGGACCGAAGGGUCACACGUCUUUCCAAUAAUUUACAAAGUGGCGCGGCCAAGCCAACAGCGUCUCUCUGUACCGACGCAGCGGGUCGCCUUUUAAAUACGGACGCCAUGCUGUGCAUUAGAAACCGACCAUACUGACGUGAUUCUAUACGGCUUUGAUGUCGGUCCAAAACAUCCCGGCUCCUCUCGAAGAUCUCCGCGGCGAGAGACGAUCGGAGCAAAAGGAGAGUCAGUCUGGUGUGCUGAGCAGCAAAUUUCACUUUAAAAAACAACACAAUGGACUUUGGAUAAAACCAACGCAACAUGUAGGCUACAUAUUUCAACGAUGAGGUACUGAAGCACGAACAGUUCAAAGUUGACGUUUUUAAAUUGACGUUUGAAACAAAUUACCUUCCUGAAUAUUAAUGCCUGGAAAGCCAAGGAUCUUAAGACAUCUUGUUUAUGAGCCAAUGAAACCGUUACUUAAACAACGCGCAUAUUUACAUUUCAAGCUUACACAGUUGAGCGCAGCUAUUAAUCACAGCGCUAAAGGGAGAUUAAUAAUCGACGGAGAUCCAACAAAUCCGUCGUUCUUCAACUUAAGGUUGAUGAAAUCUCACGACUUGGCGGACUAUUAUAUUCUGCAAGUUAUGUUUACAUAACAGUACAUUACCAGCACAUUUACAAAAAAAGGGUUUAUUAAAAGAAACAUUUGUAAUUUGAGAGGACCACAGAUUUUAAAAAAACCAACCUAGUUAGAAAUAAAUAAAUGCAACAUUGUCACAUUUCUUCUACUUUUACUUUUAAGAAGAUAACAUAAUAUUGUACCAAGAUGUAAUGAAGCAUAUUGAUUCAGUAGAUUAUUAUUUUCGUAUGUAAAAAUAUAUAUAAGUAUGUUUGUAUGAAUGACUGAUGUUUAAUUGCUUAUGCUGCAGCCUUUGACUUUUGAGAGUCAAAAUCAAUGAAAGAUUUUGUUUUUCUUCAAACUACUAUUUUUAAUUCAAAACUUUUGUUUAUGUCAACAUGUGACAUGUACAUUUUCAAACAUAAAUAUAGUAACGUCUUAUUAAUUUGAAUUAAAAAAAAGGGAGAUUUCCAAGAUGGCUUUCUCCGUCAGUAUUUUUACUUUACAGUUUCUGUUUUUCCUGUUCUGUCUGUUAUCAGGGCUGAAGGUCAGGCGUGACUCAACAUGGAAGAGUUCCUUCCCCCCCUUUGACAUUUGGGAUGCGGCUUCCCCUCUAUAGUCAUCAUGCGUCUAUCGGCAGCGAAGCGAAUCCCACAUUGCCUCGUCAUGCGCAAACUGCUGUGAGAAGUGGCGAGUGCGACCCGUCGGGUGAAAGCGCUUCGACUUUUACGCCGCGUCGAUGCAGUCCGUCUACCGUCCGUCUACCGUCCGGAGCCGGAUUGUGCAGCAGCUGUGACCUGAUUGCUUAUACCUGCUACACUUAGCAUGUUUUGUGGAUGAGAUGUCGAGAAUGAUAAGGGAAAAAAAAAAAAAAAAAAAAAAACUAAAUUCAAGAAAACAGAACAGACCCCAAGCAGAGUCAGCUGAGCGGUUCCUGACAAUUUUGCUAAAUAAAACCCGUAAUCAUCAUUUA